CCCCUAGAUGUUCUGGGCCGCACGCGCGCUACACUGAACAGUUCAACAAGUCUUAACCUUGGCCGAUAGGACUGGGUAAUCUUUGAACGCUGUUCGUGAUUGGGAUAGACCUUUGCAAUUAUGGGUCUUCAACGAGGAAUUCCUAGUAAACGCAAGUCAUCAGCUUGCAUUGAUUACGUCCCUGCCCUUUGUACACACCGCCCGUCGCACCUACCGAUUGAAUGGUCCGGUGAAAUCUCGGGACGGCGGCUUGGUCGCUUGCGUCCGACUGCUGAAACUUGAUUAAACCAUAUCAUUUAGAGGAAGGUGAAGUCGUAACA
rnacentral:rRNA from 1 species